GAUGAACGCUGGCGGCGUGCCUAAUACAUGCAAGUCGAGCGCACGGACGAGAAGCUUGCUUCUCUGAUGUUAGCGGCGGACGGGUGAGUAACACGUGGAUAACCUACCUAUAAGACUGGGAUAACUUCGGGAAACCGGAGCUAAUACCGGAUAAUAUUUUGAACCGCAUGGUUCAAAAGUGAAAGACGGUCUUGCUGUCACUUAUAGAUGGAUCCGCGCUGCAUUAGCUAGUUGGUAAGGUAACGGCUUACCAAGGCAACGAUGCAUAGCCGACCUGAGAGGGGGAUCGGCCACACUGGACCUGGGACCCGGUCCAGACUCCUACGGGAGGCGGAAGAAGGGAAUCUUGCGCAAUGGGCGAAAGCCUGACGGAGCAACCCCGCGUGGUUGAUGAGGGUCUUCGGAUCGAAAAACUCUGUUAUUAGGGAGGAACAUAUGUGUAGGUGACUGUGCACACCUUGACGGUACCUAAUCAGAAAGCCACGGCUAACUACGUG
rnacentral:rRNA from 1 species